GGUUCCAUGGUGUAAUGGUUAGCACUCUGGACUCUAAAUCCAGCAACCUGAGUUCAAAUUUUGGUUGGACCU
rnacentral:tRNA from 1 species